AGUGGCGCACGGGUGAGUAACGCGUGGGUAAUCUGCCCCGGUCUGGGGGAUAACGCACCGAAAGGUGCGCUAAUACCGCAUAAUCCGGCCUUAGGGAAAGGUGCGAACCGGGAUGAGCCCGCGUCCUAUUAGCUAGUUGGUAGGGUAACGGCCUACCAAGGCAACGAUGGGUAGCCGAGCUGAGAGGCUGAUCGGCCACACUGGGACUGAGACACGGUCCAGACUCCUACGGGAGGCAGCAGUGGGGACUUUUGCGCAAUGGGCGAAAGCCUGACGCAGCAACGCCGCGUGCGGGAUGAAGGCCUUCGGGUUGUAAACCGCUUUCAGCACGGACGACUGACUGUACCUGCAGAAGAAGCCCCGGCUAGCUACGUGCCAGCAGCCGCGGUAAUACGUAGGGGGCAAGCGUUAUCCGGAUUCAUUGGGCGUACAGAGCGCGU
rnacentral:rRNA from 1 species